GAUGAACGCUGGCGGCGUGCCUAAUACAUGCAAGUCGAGCGAACGGACGAGAAGCUUGCUUUUCUGAUGUUAGCGGCGGACGGGUGAGUAACACGUGGAUAACCUACCUAUAAGACUGGGAUAACUUCGGGAAACCGGAGCUAAUACCGGAUAAUAUUUUGAACCGCAUGGUUCAAAAGUGAAAGACGGUCUUGCUGUCACUUAUAGAUGGAUCCGCGCUGCAUUAGCUAGUUGGUAAGGUAACGGCUUACCAAGGCAACGAUGCAUAGCCGACCUGAGAGGGUGAUCGGCCACACUGGAACUGAGACACGGUCCAGACUCCUACGGGAGGCAGCAGUAGGGUAUCUUCCGCAAUGGGCGAAAGCCUGACGGAGCAACGCCGCGUGAGUGAUGAAGGUCUUCGGAUCGUAAAACUCUGUUAUUAGGGAAGAACAUAUGUGUAAGUAACUGUGCACAUCUUGACGGUACCUAAUCAGAAAGCCACGGCUAACUACGUG
rnacentral:rRNA from 1 species